rnacentral:rRNA from 1 species
UACGUAGGGGGCAAGCGUUGUCCGGAAUCAUUGGGCGUAAAGAGCGUGUAGGCGGCUCGAUAAGUCCGCUGUGAAAGUCCAGGGCUCAACCCUGGAAGGCCGGUGGAAACUGUCGGGCUAGAGUCCGGAAGAGGCGAGUGGAAUUCCUGGUGUAGCGGUGAAAUGCGCAGAUAUCAGGAGGAACACCGAUGGCGAAGGCAGCUCGCUGGGACGGUACUGACGCUGAGGCGCGAAAGCGUGGGGAGCAAACAGG